CCACAGUUUGCCCACCGGACGGCCCUGCUAGGUGGGAAGCUCCUUGCAGGCAGGAACCCCAUCUCCUUGACUUUACUUUGGAAUCCCCGCAGCCUCAUACGGGGCUGAGGCAGGUCCUUCCGUAAAAUGGAACUGAAUGAGCGGCGCUUAAUCCAUCCGCCAAAGGCCAGUCUCCCUUGGGUUUUCAACAGCUACACGGUGAAGACACAGAUGUCCACAUCUUCUGCAGAUAAGGAAACUGAGGGGUAAUAAUAAAUAAUUUGCACAACACAGCACAAAGCUGAGGAGCCAACACUGGACCUGACGAAGUCCCAUUCUGGAAGCCAAACUCCCAACUGCUAAGCUCUGCUUGAAUUCUCAUUGAGCAUCUCGCUUCUUAAAAGUUUCAACAACUCAGCAGUCUAUAAUCCAACUCGCCUUCUCCACAAUGCCAAAAGUGCAAUGAGCUUCAUGCUGAAUACUGAUUUGAAGUGUGGUUCACCACACAGACUUAAAUUGUCCUUCCCACAACUUUAUCUGAGAAGCAUGACAACGGUGACAAUCACAGGACUAGUUUUAUUGGACAGGCAACUUUCUGGGUCUGAGAAAGAGAAGGCUUCCAGGAGGUCUGCAGCCACCUGCUUCAGCCACUGCUGGUAUCCACAUCUUCAAAGCGGAGGUUUAGCCACACCCAGAGGGGGGAAUAACACUUGCAGAAAACAACGCUCAGAAAUUGGCGUCACCUGAUUCCCCACAGCAGAGCAGACCAGCUGUCUCCUGUACAGGUGGAAGCAGCUUGCACGCUUCCUGCCAUCCGCAUGCUCACUCCUCCCUCACAGUCCCAGAAAUGGAAUCCCAAGAGGCCGCUCAGGCAAGCCAGAUAGAGCCACCCAUGUGAUCAAGCAUUCAGGGCAUGAGGGCCCCCACUACCAUGGCCCGGAAAAUACAUGCAUCAACAUGACUCAUGUCAUUUGCUUGCCCUUGGUGAAUUUCACGUUGCAUUUCUAACCCGAAGCUAGGGUCGCGAUUGUCUGGGGCGUAGAGUCCCUACCACUUCUAGGUAUUCCACAUUCCCAGUCUCUAUUCAACAAGAGGCUAGGCUGACACUGAAGCAGCUAUCCAGGUUAUUCUUCAGAAAUCAGAUAUUUUUAAAGUGAUGCCAAGUUACACCUAACAUCAUAGAAUAUUCUCUUCAUGUGAACUUAAUUCAGUAGAAAACAUCUUCGGCCAGACACCUGCAGCUGGC
rnacentral:lncRNA from 1 species